rnacentral:rRNA from 1 species
AGUGAACGCUGGCGGUAGGCCUAACACAUGCAAGUCGAACGGCAGCACAGUAAGAGCUUGCUCUUACGGGUGGCGAGUGGCGUACGGGUGAGGAAUACAUCGGACUCUACUUUUUCGUGGGGGUUAACGUAGGUAAACUUACUCUCAUACCGCAUACGCCCUACCGUUGAAAGCAGUGGAUCUUCUGACCUUGCGCGAUUGAAUGCGCCGAUGUGGGAUUAGCUAGUUGGCGGGGUAAAGGCCCACCAAGGCGCCGAUCCGUAGCUGGUCGGAGAGAAUGAUAGGCGGCACUGGAAGUGAGACGCGGACCAGACGACUAAGGGAGGCAGCAGAGGGGAAUAGUGGACAAUGGGCGCGAGUAUGACCCAGCGAUAGCGAGUGGGAGAAGAAGGCGUUCGGGUUGUGAAGACGUUUUGUGGGGAGAGAAAAGCAGCAGGUUAAGACGCAGCUGGUGUGACGGUACCGAAAGAAUAAGCACCGGCUAACUUCGUG